CAGAGCAGGAAACUGUGCGUUAAGUGUCCGGCAGAGGGGGAGUUGCUGCCGGAAGGAAAAGCUGAAAAGCUUUCGGUAUAGUUUCCGCAUCCCGCUG
rnacentral:ncRNA from 1 species